rnacentral:tRNA from 1 species
GCCCUGGUGGCGGAAUGGUAGACGCGGUAGACUCAAAAUCUGCUGUCAGCAAUGGCGUGUGGGUUCAAGUCCCACCUGGGGUA